GCGGGUGUAGCUCAGUUGGUAGAGCAUUAGCUUCCCAAGCUAAGGGUCGCGGGUUCGAACCCCGUCACCCGCUCAA
rnacentral:tRNA from 1 species